rnacentral:tRNA from 1 species
CAGAGAGUAGUUUAGUUAAAAUAUUAAUUUUGGAGAUUAAUGAUAAAAAAAAUUUUUUUUUUCUUUGA